rnacentral:rRNA from 1 species
UCGGGAAUUUUGGGCAAUGGGCGAAAGCCUGACCCAGCAACGCCGCGUGAAGGAUGAAGUAUUUCGGUAUGUAAACUUCGAAAGAAUAGGAAGAAUCAAUGACGGUACUAUUUAUAAGGUCCGGCUAACUACGUGCCAGCAGCCGCGGUAAUACGUAGGGACCAAGCGUUGUUCGGAUUUACUGGGCGUAAAGGGCGCGUAGGCGGCGCGGUAAGUCACUUGUGAAAUCUCUGAGCUUAACUCAGAACGGCCAAGUGAUACUGCAGUGCUAGAGUGUGGAAGGGGCAAUCGGAAUUCUUGGUGUAGCGGUGAAAUGCGUAGAUAUCAAGAGGACCACCUGAGGUGAAGACGGGUUGCUGGGCUGACACUGACGCUGAGGCGCGAAAGCCAGGGGAGCAAACGGGAUUAGAUACCCAUGUAGUCCCUGAGCGGGCUGGCAAGGCGCAU